rnacentral:lncRNA from 1 species
GAUUUAUGAGGCAUAUACCCUUUUUAUUUUGGGUGGAUGGUUUAAUGCUUGACUUUUGUUUAAUUUAUUCUUAAAUGAAAGAAAAAAAGCAUAUGUACUUUUAAACAUAAAAAGAACUAUGAUAUUCUUCCUGUAAAACUCAAAUUCUGCCCGGCCCUCACAAACAAAAAAAUAUAUAAAACAAAUAAAAAGUCCAAUAAACAUAACAGUCCAGUUACAAUAGGCCCGUAUGGCCCAAAAUCCAAAGCCUAAUAACUUAAACCCAAAAUCUGACCCAAUCCUAGACCCAAUACAAUCCUAGACCGAAUUAAACCCUAGCCCGAUUUGAAGUGGCCCAAUUUGAAAUCUCCAGAAACCCUUAGGGUUUCUGGAAUAGUCUGCGCCGCAGCUGGGAAUUAGGCCUCCGCGCGUGUUGCACCUCCAUGUCAUCACGCCUCCAUGCACCUGCAAAGGACAAACAAACAAGCAACAAAACAUAUAUAACAAUAGCAAAGAAAGGAGCAACAAUGUAUAAUAGAUUAACAACAAAUAAUAACAGUAAAUAGGAAGAAAAUGUAAAAAAUAGGAAUUUCGAUAUUUUCAUUUUUCUCUAUUUCUGCUAUAAAAAGAUCCGAUCAAAAUAUGUAAAGGGAGACGAAAAAAUUCUAAGAAGGAGAAAUCCAAAUUCUGGAAAUGUGAUUUCAUUUUUUUCUCUCGAUGAUUUUCUUUUUCGUUCUUGAAUCUUUUUUAUUUAUUCAUCGUGUGUAAAGAAAAAAAAAGAAACAAUUAAGAGUCGAGAAAAUUACCUGGUGUUGUUGAAUCUCAGCCCGCUCCGUCGCGAUCGAAGUUCUGGCGAGGCUCGAAAGGCCUUAGAGCGGCCUGAUUUCUGAACGGCGCUGUGGCUAGGGUUCGCCAUUCUUUUCUAAAGUGGCUAUCAGGUUUUUUUUAAUUCUGUUUAUUUAGUUUUAUAAUUAAUGUGCGACAACACCGUUUAAAGCAUGUGUCAAUGGCUUCAAAACGAUAUCCUGUUGGCCAUACCCGACUGGCCUGACCCAGAUGCGGC